rnacentral:lncRNA from 1 species
UAUAUGACACGUAGCACUUCAUUUCUUGUUUCUUGUUUCCCGUUGAUCCGUACCUCCGUUUGUAACGUUCUUUAUAUGGUUUUGCAUCGUUUUCACGUGACUCAUAUGUUCAUGUAAUCCUCAUGCAUGUCAAGUUAGCAUACGGUGCAGUUCUAUCCAGUAACAUGUAUUUACUUCUCAUGCUUGUGCUAGUGAUAGAAGUAGAGAUGCAUGUUCAU